CUGGGUUUUUCUUGGGCUACCCGCCCAUCACCCGCCCUCUGUCACUUUAUACGAAUUGCUUCGGCCGACGGUUCAGCGAGCACCUGGCGCAAGCUGGUGUGAGUAGGGCCGCGGUCGGUCUACCAAAUCUAUUGCAUAUAUGUCGUCUGAAGAAAAAAGAAAAACGAAACCA
rnacentral:misc_RNA from 1 species